rnacentral:lncRNA from 1 species
ACUCCUUAUGCACUAUUAUUGCAAUGAAGCACAACAACAAACACACGCCUUACAAAUUCUCCUGAUUAUCUGAGGGAAAAUAAGGUAACAAAUUAUUAAAUUGUCUAAGUAUACUAUAUUCUAGCAGGAAGUAAAAAAAAAAAAAAAAAGAAUCACUCUGCUGCUGCAUCCCCACCAUUAAUUUCUUGGCUUCCUGUAUCUGGCAAGGUUCCAAAAUCUGUCCGAGCAUCUUUUUUUUCUUCAGAAACUGAAGAAUUUGAAGAAUCAACUGCAUCCUUUUGAGAAGAAUUAUUUGAGUCAUUCUGGCUGACAUCGUCUGUGUUUGAGGAUUCAUCUUUCUGUAUUUGGGAUGUUGAAGAUUCAGAGGAAACAACUUGUUCUUGGCUUGCAUCUGUGCUGGUAUGUGUGUUGCUUUUGUCAUUUACGUGGGUUUCAACUGCAUUGUUGUUCUCAUUCUGAUUAGCUUCACUGUUGUUAGAAUCAACAUGUUCUUCUUGGCUUGCAACUGUACGGUCAUCUGUGUUGCUGUGAACAUAACUCUCACUCUGAUUCUGGGCAGAGUCACCGUUAUCUUUUGAGUUCGAAGACACAUCUUUCUCUUGGGAUCCUGAAGAAACAACUUGUUCCUUUUG